GUAUUGGUGUGACUCAAUGGUUUCCCACCGCUCUAAGACCCAAACUUAGAAACAUACUCUAUGUAUUCUACUGCUACUAUCUUACCAAAUGACUCCCUGACCUCUGGUGGCCUCGGAAUUCUCAGGAUGGGCUGUCAUAAUUACCCAAUCCAAAGUCAACACCUGGAUUCUAAAUAACCCUGGAAAAGGAAGCUACUUUGACAUCUCAAGAAUGUCUGCCCAUCUCUGAAAGAGGACGCAAUUGGAAAGAAGGGGAUGUCCUGUUUUGUUUGAAUACAGUCCUUCAACAGUCUACAGUUUGCCCACCGGCAUCACCCAGUGCACAUGUUUUUGGAAUGCCCUCUUCUCAAUAAGUGAAGAUAAUGAAGCCAGAAGAGAUGAAAUGAUUAUGCCGCCUCAGAAUCACCUUGGAUCUUUCUUACAGAAUCGUCUCCAUGUAGCUCAUCAUCUGUUGGGCUAAGUUAGUAUUUAUGCUCCACCUCCCAACUAACUCAGUCCUAAGGGCCUCAUGAGACAGGAGAAGGAGGGUGUUUUGUCAUCUCGGCCACAGUUUUCAUAUCAGCGACAGACUUGCCUAAAGUUAGGCAGAAGGGCCUCACGAGAAGCCACAGGUGCCAGAAUUCUGCAGAACUGCUGUGUUGACGAACAGGACAGCGAUCUGGAGUGUCUGAGCCUGGCUCCAGAGGUGGACUUCCCGGGGGACAGGAAGCCAGCCAGGAAUAACAAUGAUUCAGGCCUUUGCCUCCCAUGUAUCUGAAAGAGAAGAAAGCCUUUUCGGUUUCCAGACUCACAAGCCCUAGUUCUUUUUAAAGGCCAGUGGGAACAGAAAGUGGUUUCUGAAUCUAGUCUGAAGGGGGCUUCUCUAAAGAACCCAUACUGGAACAUUCUCUUGACCCGAACAGCCUUCUUGUCUUCCUCUCACCUCUCAGUCUUGUGCUUAGGUUUCUAGUCCAUCUCUAGCUCCACCUCUUCCAGGAAGCCUUCCUCAAACAACCCCGCCCAAUGAGCUCACCUCCCUUGACUUCUUACAGUGCUUGGUGUUUCCUGGUCCUUGUGUACCAAGGAUUGUUGACUUUGUCAUGCUGGUCUAGUCUCUUUCUCUCUCUCUUUCUUUUCUUCUUCCUAUAUUUUUGGGGAUGGGAGCAGGUGAUAAUUCAAUUUCUAAAGCAUAUAAUCACUUUUUCAAACAUGUUACAGUUUCCAGUCUUUGUCCUAGAAAGCUAUACAGAGUUAAUGGACAAUAUGUUCUGUAGCUUUACAUAAUGGGAUGAAAAUAGGUACUUUUUUUUUUUAUUUGCUUGUAAAUGCAGAUGGAAACUUUGUGUGAAAAUCAUGAUUGCAUGGUCAUAAUGAAGACAGACAUCAGGCACUGCAGCCUUCAGGUUAGUGUUAUCUGGAAUAAAAUGA